rnacentral:rRNA from 1 species
UAAUACGGAGGGUGCAAGCGUUAUCCGGAUUUAUUGGGUUUAAAGGGUCCGUAGGCGGACUUAUAAGUCAGUGGUGAAAGCCUGUCGCUUAACGAUAGAACUGCCAUUGAUACUGUAAGUCUUGAGUAUAUUUGAGGUAGCUGGAAUAAGUAGUGUAGCGGUGAAAUGCAUAGAUAUUACUUAGAACACCAAUUGCGAAGGCAGGUUACCAAGAUAUAACUGACGCUGAGGGACGAAAGCGUGGGGAGCGAACAGGAUUAGAUACCCCGGUAGUCCACGCCGUAAACGAUGCUAACUCGUUUUUGGGCUUUAGGGUUCAGAGACCAAGCGAAAGUGAUAAGUUAGCCACCUGGGGAGUACGCUCGCAAGAGUG